rnacentral:rRNA from 1 species
AUUGAACGCUGGCGGCAUGCUUUACACAUGCAAGUCGAACGGCAGCGCGGGCUUCGGCCUGGCGGCGAGUGGCGAACGGGUGAGUAAUACAUCGGAACGUGCCCAGUAGUGGGGGAUAGCUCGGCGAAAGCCGGAUUAAUACCGCAUAAGACCUGAGGGUGAAAGCGGGGGGUCUUCGGACCUCGCGCUAUUGGAGCGGCCGAUGGCAGAUUAGCUAGUUGGUGGGGUAAAGGCCUACCAAGGCGACGAUCUGUAGCUGGUCUGCGAGGACGACCAGCCACACUGGGACUGAGACACGGCCCAGACUCCUACGGGAGGCAGCAGUGGGGAAUUUUGGACAAUGGGCGAAAGCCUGAUCCAGCAAUGCCGCGUGUGUGAUGAAGGCCUUCGGGUUGUAAAGCACUUUUGGCGGGAACGAAAAGGACUGUGCCAAUACCACGGUUCGAUGACGGUACCCGCAGAAUAAGCACCGGCUAACUACGUG